GACGAACGCUGGCGGCGUGCCUAAUACAUGCAAGUAGAACGCACAGUUUAUACCGUAGCUUGCUACACCAUAGACUGUGAGUUGCGAACGGGUGAGUAACGCGUAGGUAACCUGCCUGGUAGCGGGGGAUAACUAUUGGAAACGAUAGCUAAUACCGCAUAAUAUUGAUUAUUGCAUGAUAAUUGAUUGAAAGAUGCUAUUGCAUCACUACCAGAUGGACCUGCGUUGUAUUAGCUAGUAGGUGAGGUAACGGCUCACCUAGGCGACGAUACAUAGCCGACCGGAGAGGGUGAUCGGCCACACUGGGACUGAGACACGGCCCGGACUCCUACGGGAGGCAGCAGUAGGGAAUCUUCGGCAAUAGACGAAAGUCUGACCGAGCAACGCCGCGUGAGGGAAGAAGGUUGUCGGAUCGUAAAGCUCUGUUGUAAGAGAAGAACGGGUGUGAGAGUGGAAAGUUCACACUGUGACGGUAUCUUACCAGAAAGGGACGGCUAACUACGUG
rnacentral:rRNA from 1 species